AACCCUAAAAAUGGGGUUUCUCACCACUCAUCCACUCGUUGCAACUCACAUCCUUGCCGCUGCAAGAAAUGUCGUUGUUGUUGCCUUCAGCAAGUUUUCGAUCCAAUUCUCCAUCUGGCCUCAAUCUGAAGGUUUGUCGCUGCCGCUUAUUUCACUGCCAUUGUUCAUCUCCUCGUCGUCACUCAUCCCCUCACCAUAUCAAGCAACAUCGUGUCGCUACCUUCAAUGAGGUUCUGGCUUCGAUCUGAAGGUUAGUCACCGUCACUCAUUCCGUUGCCGCCUUUAUUUUUCACCUCGCCGCCGCAAGCAAUGCUGCUGUUACUGCCUUUAGCGAGCCUCUGUGAUUUUGUUUCACCUUCAUCUUCUUUUGAUUUUUCCUUCCUCUUCAUAAUUUUAGAUCUAGUUCAUGAUCUAGUAGGAAGAAACAGAGAAUGCUUAUUUUUUCUCUUUUAUUUUUAGUUUGAUUGAUCUUCUGCAUUGUUGUUGUUGUUGUUGUUGAUGAGGGUGCCAGAGGUGGUGGAAUUUUACUACACGUUGAUGAGGAGAGAACCAUAGCAACUAUCUCGAUGCAAAUAUAGCUGAAACGGAAUCCUAGAGGCCGUGCUGGCUCUAGCAAAUGCAUGUGACAUGAUCGAUGAGAUUGAGAACCACUCUUUUCACUUGCUCGCGACUGCUCAUAUUUGAUAACAUAGAGAAUGGAAGCUUAAAAGAGCAUCUCAAUGAUCCCUUGAAUACUCCUUUAAAUUGGAGGAUGAGGUUGCAGAUUGCUAAUGAAGUUGUAGCAGCACUGGUAAGCUCUUCAAACAAAAGCUUGUCAAAGAACUAAAUUUGCCUAAUGUGUUUUGACUUGAAACUGCACUCUUCUUAUCAUAUUUUUCUAAUGCAAGUAAUUUGAGGACUAUGAAAAGUUAAUGUCUCAUUGAGUUUAUGAAUUGCUAUUGGAUGCGUGACAUCCUUGCUAAGCUGUAACUGUUUAGCAUUUUUCAUUCUUGGCAUUUAUGAUAAAAUAAAUAUUAGAAACUAUGGUACUAUGGUACCUUGGUUUCAUGGA